AUUGAACGCUGGCGGCAGGCCUAACACAUGCAAGUCGAACGGUAGCACAGAGAGCUUGCUCUCGGGUGAUGAGUGGCGGACGGGUGAGUAAUGUCUGGGAAACUGCCCGAUGGAGGGGGAUAACUACUGGAAACGGUAGCUAAUACCGCAUAACGUCGCAAGACCAAAGUGGGGGACCUUCGGGCCUCACACCAUCGGAUGUGCCCAGAUGGGAUUAGCUAGUAGGUGGGGUAAUGGCUCACCUAGGCGACGAUCCCCAGCUGGUCUGAGAGGAUGACCAGCCACACUGGAACUGAGACACGGUCCAGACUCCUACGGGAGGCAGCAGUGGGGAAUAUUGCACAAUGGGCGCAAGCCUGAUGCAGCCAUGCCGCGUGUAUGAAGAAGGCCUUCGGGUUGUAAAGUACUUUCAGCGGGGAGGAAGGCGGUGGAGUUAAUAACUUCACCGAUUGACGUUACCCGCAGAAGAAGCACCGGCUAACUCCGUGCCAGCCGCCGCAGUAA
rnacentral:rRNA from 1 species